AUACGGAGGAUCCGAGCGUUAUCCGGAUUUAUUGGGUUUAAAGGGAGCGUAGGUGGACAGUUAAGUCAGUUGUGAAAGUUUGCGGCUCAACCGUAAAAUUGCAGUUGAUACUGGCUGUCUUGAGUACAGUAGAGGUGGGCGGAAUUCGGGGUGUAGCGGUGAAAUGCUUAGAUAUCACGAAGAACUCCGAUUGCGAAGGCAGCUCACUGGACUGCAACUGACACUGAUGCUCGAAAGUGUGGGUAUCAAACAGGAUUAGAUACCCUGGUAGUCCACACAGUAAACGAUGAAUACUCGCUGUUUGCGAUAUACAGUAAGCGGCCAAGCGAAAGCAUUAAGUAUUCCACCUGGGGAGUACGCCGGCAACGGUGAAACUCAAAGGAAUUGACGGGG
rnacentral:rRNA from 1 species